rnacentral:lncRNA from 1 species
GGGGCUCGGGCCCUGACUCAGAGGCUUUUUGCUGCUGCCGCUGACUGCUUGGGCCCGCAUUGCUGCCAUCCUCCUCUUCCAGCUGCCCAGCUCCAAGACCUUGGAGACGGAGAGCUGGAGGCGGUAGAAUGAAUGGAGGUGGGUGUGAGCAGCACGUCUUGGAGCAGAUGGGAGACAGCACGAAUGCAUGCACACACUUGGGAAGCCACCUGUCUUAUACACACACGUGUACCGAGACACACGAUGACAUCUCUCCAUCAUCGCACGUACGUGGACUCCUGCUUGAGGUAAACGUGUCAUCAUCUACAGGCACAGGCAUAGACACAAACCCACUCCUGAGACACCUUCGCAUCACACAAAUGUAUAAAGCCAAAGCCAUAACACUCGAAGAGAUAGAGGCCCCCAAUACACAGGUGUGCAAACACACAUUGCUCAGAUCACCCCAACAUCACACGCAGGCACACGUGCAUGCAUGCACACACACGUGGGGCCAGUGGCAGCUCCCUGUACUGGAAAAAGUCUUAGAUUGAGAAUCAGCAACACCACUCAGCAGCUGAGGUGACCCAGCUCAUCCUGAAGCCUCCCCAUCAGGCACUCAGUUUCCUCAUCUGUCAAAUGGGGACAAUAAUCCCCACCCUGUUGUCCUCUGGCGCACUGGUGAGGCACAAAGCAGAAGGAUGAGAAGGCAGAAGGAGGGGGUCUCAGUCACCGAAGGACCUGCUUAGACAGCAGUCACAGCCAGCCUCCUGCACAACUUCCUCCCCUCUUCACAAGGCAGCUUCCAUCCAGCCCACCAUUCAUGCUGCUGGGUGCCUGGGGAAGACAGCCAGACCAGGCUUCUGCUCACAGGUGGACACCAACGGAGGAGCAGGGGCACUUGGACAAGACCCCUCAUGGUCAGAGAAGGUUUUUCUUCCUUGGCGGUCAGAGAUAACGACUGAUCCUUGCUGAAUCCUUCCCGUAUUAUAGUGCCUUUUGGGUUUUAACUCAACGAGUCCUCACAACAACUCUGUGAAGC